GUCUUAGUAGCUUAGAAAAAGCAUCGGUCUUGUAAUCCGAAGAUCGGAGGUCAAAUUCCCCCCUAAGAUC
rnacentral:tRNA from 1 species